UACAGAGGUAGCUAGCGUUGUUCGGAAUGACUGGGUGUAAAGAACAUGUAGGCGGUUUUGUAAGUUGAAUGUGAAAUCCCUCGGCUCAACUGAGGAACGGCAUUCAAAACUGCAUUACUUGAGUACGGAAGAGGAAAGUGGAAUUUCUGGUGUAGCGGUGAAAUGCGUAGAUAUCAGAAGGAACACCGGUGGCGAAGGCGACUUUCUGGUCCGUAACUGACGCUGAGAUGUGAAAGCUAGGGGAG
rnacentral:rRNA from 1 species